UACGUAGGUGGCAAGCGAUACUCGGAAUCACUAGGCGUAAAGCGCAGGUAGGCGGUUUGGUAAGUCCGCUGUGAAAACUCGAGGCUCAACCUCGAGACGUCGGUGGAAACUGUCUGGCUAGAGUCCGGAAGAGGAGUGUGGAAUUCCUGGUGUAGCGGUGAAAUGCGCAGAUAUCAGGAGGAACACCAAUGGCGAAGGCAGCACUCUGGGACGGUACUGACGCUGAGACGCGAAAGCGUGGGGAGCAACAGG
rnacentral:rRNA from 1 species